CACAAUCACAAUAAAUCCAUGAUUUAUUUUAGACUGUUGUGAAGAAUCAUGAUAAGAAAAUGUAGUCUAUUCCAGAUUAACAGAAUAGCUCUGAGUAGUCCUGAUGUGGCUAUGGCAAAUGGUUGUUGCCGGCGCGGCAGUUAGCCUAGUGGUUAGAGUGUAGGGACGGCAGGUAGCCUAGUGGUUAGAGUGUAGGGACGGCAGGUAGCCUAGUGGUUAGAGUGUCGGGACGGCAGGUAGCCUAGUGGUUAGAGUGUAGGGACGGCAGGUAGCCUAGUGGUUAGAGUGUAGGGACGGCAGGGUAGCCUAGUGGUUAGAGUGUAGGGACGGCAGGUAGGCUAGUGGUUAGAGUGUAGGGGCGGCAGGUAGCCUAGUGGUUAGAGCGUAGGGGCGGCAGGUAGCCUAGUGGUUAGAGUGUAGGGACGGCAGGGUAGCCUAGUGGUUAGAGUGUAGGGACGGCAGGUAGCCUAGUGGUUAGAGUGUAGGGACGGCAGGUAGCCUAGUGGUUAGAGUGUAGGGACGGCAGGUAGCCUAGUGGUUAGAGUGUAGCGGCGGCAGGUAGCCUAGUGGUUAGAGUGUAGGGACGGCAGGUAGCCUAGUGGUUAGAGUGUAGGGACGGCAGGGUAGCCUAGUGGUUAGAGUGUAGGGACGGCAGGUAGCCUAGUGGUUAGAGUGUAGGGACGGCAGGUAGCCUAGUGGUUAGAGCGUAGGGGCGGCAGGUAGCCUAGUGGUUAGGACUAGCAACCGAAAGGUUGCAAGAUCGAAUCCCCGAGCUGACAAGAUACAAAUAUGUCAUUCUGCCCCUGAACUAGGCAGUUAACCCACUGUUCCUAGGCCGUCAUUGAAAAUAAGAAUUUGUUCUUUAACUGACUUGCCG
ensembl:lncRNA